AUGCGGCAAUUAAGUGAUCAUGGAAAAAAAAUGAAGAAAGAAAAGCAGGAACGAUUACAUCAACUGGAAAAGCAAAAACAAGAGGCAGAAUAUUUGAAGCAAGAGAAAGAAAAACUGAAAGCAGAAGCAGAGAGUUCGGAGAAUGUGGCAUUGGAGAAAUACCGAUUGAUAGAGGAGCAAGAGAAGAAGAAAGUAGCUGAAGAAGAAAAAAAUGCUCAAAUGCAAGAAUUUUCAAGUUUUUCUCGGACAUUGAUCAAAAUCAUGAUGAAAUGUAAGGAUUAUAUUUAUUUGUUCUCUCAUGGACUGCUUUUGUUAUUUCAAUUUUCCAUAAAUGUAUGCUAUUGAGUCUCGCUCUUUUUCAUGAUAACUUCAUGUUUCAGUAACUCAAUUUCGUAGACUUAGGUCUCUUUUCCCAUGGACAGUAAAAUAUGCACCAAAAAAAUUCUCUUUUUCAAGUUUGAGUGUCAAUUUUUCCCUCUAAAUGUUAAUUUAAUGCAUCAUUUCACUAUUGUUUUCCCCCAGAAUUACUAUCGAUGAAGUUCAAGCUUAUGGUGUGUUUGAUACCAACAAAGAUGGGGUAAUAUCAGAUGAGGAAGUACAGGUAAAGUGUUUUAAAUUUUACUUUGGCUACUUUCUUUGUUUGAGCUGAAUUGUAUAUUUACUAAUGCUUCGGAUAAAUUCAUUAAACAUUUA
rnacentral:lncRNA from 1 species